AUUGAACGCUGGCGGAAUGCUUUACACAUGCAAGUCGAACGGUAGAGGGGGGCAACCCCUUGAGAGUGGCGAACGGGUGAGUAAUAUAUCGGAACGUGCCCAGUCGUGGGGAUAACGUAGCGAAAGUUACGCUAAUACCGCAUACGAUCUAAGGAUGAAAGCGGGGGAUCGCAAGACCUCGCGCGAUUGGAGCGGCCGAUAUCAGAUUAGGUAGUUGGUGAGGUAAAGGCUCACCAAGCCAACGAUCUGUAGCUGGUCUGAGAGGACGACCAGCCACACUGGAACUGAGACACGGUCCAGACUCCUACGGGNGGCAGCAGUGGGGAAUUUUGGACAAU
rnacentral:rRNA from 1 species